UCUGGCUCAGGACGAACGCUGGCGGCGUGCUUAACACAUGCAAGUCGAACGGUAAGGCCCCUUCGGGGGUACACGAGUGGCGAACGGGUGAGUAACACGUGGGUAAUCUGCCCUGCACUUCGGGAUAAGCCUGGGAAACUGGGUCUAAUACCGGAUAUGAACUCCUGCCGCAUGGUGGGGGUUGGAAAGUUUUUCGGUGCAGGAUGAGCCCGCGGCCUAUCAGCUUGUUGGUGGGGUAAUGGCCUACCAAGGCGACGACGGGUAGCCGGCCUGAGAGGGUGAUCGGCCACACUGGGACUGAGACACGGCCCAGACUCCUACGGGAGGCAGCAGUGGGGAAUAUUGCACAAUGGGCGAAAGCCUGAUGCAGCGACGCCGCGUGGGGGAUGACGGUCUUCGGAUUGUAAACCCCUUUCAGUAGGGACGAAGCGCAAGUGACGGUACCUGCAGAAGAAGCACCGGCUAACUACGUGCCAGCAGCCGCGGUAAUACGUAGGGUGCGAGCGUUGUCCGGAAUUACUGGGCGUAAAGAGCUCGUAGGCGGUUUGUCACGUCGUCUGUGAAAUCCCUCGGCUUAACCGGGGGCGUGCAGGCGAUACGGGCAGACUUGAGUACUACAGGGGAGACUGGAAUUCCUGGUGUAGCGGUGAAAUGCGCAGAUAUCAGGAGGAACACCGGUGGCGAAGGCGGGUCUCUGGGUAGUAACUGACGCUGAGGAGCGAAAGCAUGGGUAGCGAACAGGAUUAGAUACCCUGGUAGUCCAUGCCGUAAACGGUGGGCGCUAGGUGUGGGGUCCUUCCACGGACUCCGUGCCGUAGCUAACGCAUUAAAGCGGCCCCC
rnacentral:rRNA from 1 species